CACCCUGACCCAAAUUCCUCAGCUUAUCCUAUGCAACUGCCUGAAAACUAAAAGGCUACAAUUUUGGAGAGAGAGAGAGAGAGAGAGGAGAGAGAGAGAGUUUCCAAUGGAUCAUCAUCCCGUAAAAGGUGACCCAACUUUCAACAGAGAACGCUGCUCAUCUUCAUCAAGGCAUCGGUUUGCUUCUCUCAGCGUGGACUGCCCUUCAGAUGGCCUUCGAGAACUAUUGUGGUGGCCCUGACUCUUCCCUCAGCCAAUCCCAAGAGUUCUUUCUAAAAGAUAGCAGAGAAAUGAAUGAUUAUGCAUGAAGAGUGUUUUGGAAGGUAACUAUAAGUCAAUUCAAAUACUAAAGGAAACGAAUCCUCUGACAGGUGCUAUUCCUCAUAUCUGACAGGUAAUUAUAGUGUUUCCUUGACUGAAAAUGUUUUAUACCCAAUAAAUGAGUGUAAUUCACUAUUUCUGCUGAGCUGUUUGAGCUGUUUUUCAUGUUUGUUCUGUUUAUUUGGAUGAGGGAAUGAUGAAAUAUUUCCAAAUGAAAUAAACAUAGUGGAACAAUUAUUAUA